GGCUCAGGAUGAACGCUGGCGGCGUGCCUAAUACAUGCAAGUCGAGCGAACUGAUUAGAAGCUUGCUUCUAUGACGUUAGCGGCGGACGGGUGAGUAACACGUGGGCAACCUGCCUGUAAGACUGGGAUAACUUCGGGAAACCGAAGCUAAUACCGGAUAGGAUCUUCUCCUUCAUGGGAGAUGAUUGAAAGAUGGUUUCGGCUAUCACUUACAGAUGGGCCCGCGGUGCAUUAGCUAGUUGGUGAGGUAACGGCUCACCAAGGCAACGAUGCAUAGCCGACCUGAGAGGGUGAUCGGCCACACUGGGACUGAGACACGGCCCAGACUCCUACGGGAGGCAGCAGUAGGGAAUCUUCCGCAAUGGACGAAAGUCUGACGGAGCAACGCCGCGUGAGUGAUGAAGGCUUUCGGGUCGUAAAACUCUGUUGUUAGGGAAGAACAAGUACGAGAGUAACUGCUCGUACCUUGACGGUACCUAACCAGAAAGCCACGGCUAACUACGUGCCA
rnacentral:rRNA from 2 species